rnacentral:rRNA from 1 species
AGACCUCAGGUCAGGCGGGGCUACCCGCUGAGUUUAAGCAUAUCAAUAAG